UACGUAGGGUGCGAGCGUUGUCCGGAAUUAUUGGGCGUAAAGAGCUUGUAGGCGGUUUGUCGCGUCUGCCGUGAAAUUUCGAGGCUCAACCUCGAACUUGCGGUGGGUACGGGCAGACUAGAGUGUGGUAGGGGAGACUGGAAUUCCUGGUGUAGCGGUGAAAUGCGCAGAUAUCAGGAGGAACACCGAUGGCGAAGGCAGGUCUCUGGGCUACUACUGACGCUGAGAAGCGAAAGCAUGGGGAGCGAACAGG
rnacentral:rRNA from 1 species